GACGAACGCUGGCGGCGUGCUUAACACAUGCAAGUCGAACGGAAAGGCCCUGCUUGCAGGGUACUCGAGUGGCGAACGGGUGAGUAACACGUGGGUGAUCUGCCCUGCACUUCGGGAUAAGCCUGGGAAACUGGGUCUAAUACCGGAUAGGAGCCAUUUUUAGUGUGAUGGUUGGAAAGUUUUUUCGGUGUAGGAUGAGCUCGCGGCCUAUCAGCUUGUUGGUGGGGUAAUGGCCUACCAAGGCGGCGACGGGUAGCCGGCCUGAGAGGGUGGACGGCCACAUUGGGACUGAGAUGCGGCCGAGACUCCUACGGGAGGCAGAAGUGGGGAAUAUUGCACAAUGGGCGCAGGCCUGAUGCAGCGACGCCGCGUGGGGGAUGACGGCCUUCGGGUUGUAAACUCCUUUCGCUAGGGACGAAGCUUUUUGUGACGGUACCUAGAUAAGAAGCACCGGCUAACUACGUG
rnacentral:rRNA from 1 species